rnacentral:rRNA from 1 species
UACGGGGGGGGCAAGCGUUGUUCGGAAUUACUGGGCGUAAAGAGCUCGUAGGCGGUUCGUCGCGUCGGCUGUGAAAUCCCGAGGCUCAACCUCGGGUCUGCAGUCGAUACGGGCGGACUGGAGUUCGGCAGGGGAGACUGGAAUUCCGUGGUGUAGCGGUGAAAUGCGCAGAUAAUCAGGAGGAACACCGGUGGCGAAGGCGGGUCUCUGGGCCGAUACUGACGCUGAGGAGCGAAAGCGUGGGGAGCGAACAGG